UCAGACGAUGCGUCAUGCAUAUCAAUAAGCGGAGGAAAAGAAACUAACAAGGAUUCCCCUAGUAACGGCGAGUGAAGCGGGAAGAGCUCAAAUUUGAAAUCUUAAAGGGUUUCCCUUUACGAAUUGUAGUUUAAAGAAGUGUUUUCUGUUGAGGUUUUGGUAAAAGUUCUUUGGAAUAGGACAUCAUAGAGGGUGAGAAUCCCGUAUUUGACCUUUACUUUCAACUUUGUGAUACACUUUCAAAGAGUCGGAUUGUUUGGGAAUGCAGUCCAAAAUGGGUGGUAAAUUUCAUCUAAAGCUAAAUAUUGGCGAGAGACCGAUAGCGAACAAGUACCGUGAGGGAAAGAUGAAAAGAACUUUGAAAAGAGAGUUAAACAGUACGUGAAAUUGUCAAAAGGGAAGCGUUUGACACCAGUGUUGUUUUUCUGAAAAUCAAUUAAAGAACUGUUUAUGCUAAGCUGUUUAGACUUUAUCAGCUAACUGUUUAGUUUUGAGCUUUUCUUUAAUGCACUUUUCAGUUAACAAGUCAACAUCAAUUUCUUUUGCUGUAAAAAAGCUUGAGGAAGGUGGCUUGAGAUUCGUCUUAAGUGUUUAUAGCCUCUUGCCUAUGCAGUCGGAGAGAUUGAGGUCUGCAGCGUAGAUCCUUCGGGGCUAAAUGCAUUUGUGCUAAGUUAUAGCAUUUUAUAGACAACUUGUUGACUAUGAUUUGCCUUGUAGCUUACUCGCUUAUGUUAUUUUACCUACGCUUAGGAUGUUGACACACGCGCGUGCUCG
rnacentral:rRNA from 1 species